AUCUUGGCCAGCAAUGCUGGACUGGGUUCCUUUGAGGUGAGGGAAACUCUUGGACAUGGGACCUAGUGGGGGCUACCCCUCUGCUUGCCUCCCUGCUGGGUUAACAGUACAGCUGGCCCAGCCAGUCUUGAAACCUUACCCUGCAACAAAAACUUGACACCUCCAGGCCAGUCAUUCUGGAGGUGUCUUCUCUGCCAAGUCGGUGACUCCCCAACCCGCUAUUAUGGCUGGACUCUGCUCUUGCAGUCUUAGUGUACACCCUGGUUCUUCAAGGGCAGCAAGCAGGACUAUUCCGGUAGCAACCAGAGCUGCAGCUCAGGGCCCCGCGCUGGAAAGCUGGGGCAGCUUAGGUGGUAACUAGUGUGCUGAGCAUGAGGGGCGCUAUGGAGCCCAGGCGGGUUUAGGAAGCAUUCCUGGCUUCCUGGAGGAGGGGAAAUAUGGUAAUUCAGGCUGAAGGAGCUGGAUGGGGCCAGGGGCAGUGACUCACGCCUGUAAUCCCAGAACUUUGGAAGGCCUGAGACGGGAGGGUCGCUUGAGCCCAGAAGUUCGAGACCAGCCUGGGAGACAUGGCAAGACCUCGUCUCAAAAAAGCCACGCGUGGUAUGCGCCUGUGCUCCCAGCUGCUUGGGAGGCUGAGGCUGGAGGAUCGCUUGAGCCCUGGAGGUCGAGACUGCUGUGAGCCGUGAUCGCACCACUGGACUCCAGCCUUGGUGGCAGUGAGACCCUGUCCCCAAAGAACUGGGUGAUCUCGACCCUCCACAUCGCUGGCUCUCCACGGGCGCUGCACAGUGGAGACCCAGGAUCUGAUUGCAUAGGACUGGGCACUGGAGUUUAAGUUCUCCAGGGGGGUUUAAUAUGCAACGAAGUUGGGAACCACUACCAGUGAACCCCUUCAUUCUGUGCGGCUCCAGCUCCCGGAAGCCCUCGGACAAGGAACUGCAGCCCAUGUACCGCGUGACGUGAGAGCGGAGCCCGGGUCUGCCCGGGCGCGGGCCCGCGGCCACGGCGUUUGGAUCCCAGAUCCCAUCCCCCGCGCUCAGUCCGGGCUUCCUGACCGGCGCUCUCCGCGUCCCUUCUCGCGCGCCCUUACCUGGGGUUGGGGAGGUGGGGACAGAGCCGGGCGCAGUCCGGGGCACAGCCCUGAGGCGGGGCUGAGGGCCAGGCCGCCACGUCCCUGGACCCUGAAAACGGGCUCGGACCCCCGCUGCAGCGUGGACUCCGGUGAGGCCGCGGGGCGUGCAACCCGGACCCUGGCCAGCUCCGUGUCCUCCAGACCUUUACUCAUGGCCCCGCAUCGCCAGGCCGAGCUGCACCUUCGGUCCCCGCCCGCGGCAGCCGAGGAGAGGAGAGCAAGGCCCAGACAGGGGAGGAACCCACACAGCCUCUGUGCUCCAGCCUGCUUGAAAGACAAGGUCUACCUACAACGCAGAGAUGCACACAUUAAGGACAAUGAAACACCCAAGUGUUAGGAACCAGAAUAAUCAGCCCUAAUAGAGGGGAGGCUGAUCAGGGAGGGCCUCCUGGAGGAGGAGGCACAACAUCAGGGUGCACUGUGAUUUCUGGAGACCCAAGGAGUUCUGGUAAAUGACAGAUGGUUCUGAGACUUUGGAAAGAAAGAAAAGGAAAAAAGACCCUGCCCGCGCCCCAGCUGGGCAUCCCUGGGAGGUCGCGAGGAUCCCCGGAGACCCAGACUCGGGACGGGGCGCCCCCGGCCAGAGCGGCCCCUGGCUGCCUCCCUACGCCCCGCGACUCCGGUCCGGACGCCGAGGGCCUCGGCC
rnacentral:lncRNA from 1 species